AUGCAAGUCGAGGGGUAUAGUUCUUCGGAAUUAGAGACCGGCGCACGGGUGCGUAACGCGUAUGCAAUCUACCUUUCACAGAGGGAUAGCCCAGAGAAAUUUGGAUUAAUACCUCAUAGUAUUAUGAUAUGGCAUCAUAUUAUAAUUAAAGUCACAACGGUGAAAGAUGAGCAUGCGUCCCAUUAGCUAGUUGGUAAGGUAACGGCUUACCAAGGCGACGAUGGGUAGGGGUCCUGAGAGGGAGAUCCCCCACACUGGUACUGAGACACGGACCAGACUCCUACGGGAGGCAGCAGUGAGGAAUAUUGGACAAUGGGCGCAAGCCUGAUCCAGCCAUGCCGCGUGCAGGAUGACGGUCCUAUGGAUUGUAAACUGCUUUUGCACAGGAAGAAACAACGCUACGUGUAGCGUCUUGACGGUACUGUGAGAAUAAGGAUCGGCUAACUCCGUGCCAGCAGCCGCGGUAAUACGGAGGAUCCAAGCGUUAUCCGGAAUCAUUGGGUUUAAAGGGUCCGUAGGCGGUUUAGUAAGUCAGUGGUGAAAGCCCAUCGCUCAACGGUGGAACGGCCAUUGAUACUGCUAGACUUGAAUUAUUAGGAAGUAACUAGAAUAUGUAGUGUAGCGGUGAAAUGCUUAGAGAUUACAUGGAAUACCAAUUGCGAAGGCAGGUUACUACUAAUGGAUUGACGCUGAUGGACGAAAGCGUGGGUAGCGAACAGGAUUAGAUACCCUGGUAGUCCACGCCGUAAACGAUGGAUACUAGCUGUUGGGAGCGAUCUCAGUGGCUAAGCGAAAGUGAUAAGUAUCCCACCUGGGGAGUACGUUCGCAAGAAUGAAACUCAAAGGAAUUGACGGGGGCCCGCACAAGCGGUGGAGCAUGUGGUUUAAUUCGAUGAUACGCGAGGAACCUUA
rnacentral:rRNA from 1 species